rnacentral:rRNA from 1 species
GAUCAUGGCUCAGGAUGAACGCUAGCGACAGGCCUAACACAUGCAAGUCGAGGGGCAGCGGAGAGGUAGCAAUACCUUUGCCGGCGACCGGCGCACGGGUGAGUAACACGUAUGCAAUCAACCUGUAACAGGGGGAUAACCCGGAGAAAUCCGGACUAAUACCCCAUAAUAUGGGCGCUCCGCAUGGAGAGUCCCAUUAAAGAGAGCAAUUUUGGUUACAGACGAGCAUGCGCU